AGAUAACAAAGUUCACGAAAUAUGUACCUAGAUCUAAUGAACGCGAGUCAUUAGACUCUUGUGCCCACCUCCCAUGUUGCAUAUCCAGCCAUAAACAGUACCGAUUGAAAACCGUCUUUGAAUUGUGACUGCCAAUUCCUGUUUUAACAAUGGCAUCAGGAGGGUCAGUCAAAAAAGAUUCAGCUUUUUACAAAAAGGUUAUCAAUAAAUGCCUGA